UGGGGAAUUUUGGACAAUGGGGGAAACCCUGAUCCAGCCAUCCCGCGUGUGCGAUGAAGGCCUUCGGGUUGUAAAGCACUUUUGGCAGGAAAGAAACGUCAUGGGUUAAUACCCCGUGAAACUGACGGUACCUGCAGAAUAAGCACCGGCUAACUACGUGCCAGCAGCCGCGGUAAUACGUAGGGUGCAAGCGUUAAUCGGAAUUACUGGGCGUAAAGCGUGCGCAGGCGGUUCGGAAAGAAAGAUGUGAAAUCCCAGAGCUCAACUUUGGAACUGCAUUUUUAACUACCGGGCUAGAGUGUGUCAGAGGGAGGUGGAAUUCCGCGUGUAGCAGUGAAAUGCGUAGGUAUGCGGAGGAACACCGAUGGCGAAGGUAGCCUCCUGGGAUAACACUGACGCUCAUGCACGAAAGCGUGGGGAGCAAACAGG
rnacentral:rRNA from 1 species